GGCUCAGAUUGAACGCUGGCGGCAGGCCGUAACACAUGCAAGUCGAGCGGUAGAGAGGUGCUUGCAUCUCUUGAGAGCGGCGGACGGGUGAGUAAUGCCUAGGAAUCUGCCUAGUGGUGGGGGAUAACGUUCGGAAACGGACGCUAAUACCGCAUACGUCCUACGGGAGAAAGCGGGGGAUCUUCGGACCUCGCGCCAUUAGAUGAGCCUAGGUCGGAUUAGCUAGUUGGUGAGGUAAUGGCUCACCAAGGCGACGAUCCGUAACUGGUCUGAGAGGAUGAUCAGUCACACUGGAACUGAGACACGGUCCAGACUCCUACGGGAGGCAGCAGUGGGGAAUAUUGGACAAUGGGCGAAAGCCUGAUCCAGCCAUGCCGCGUGUGUGAAGAAGGGUCUUCGGAUUGUAAAGCACUUUAAGUUGGGAGGAAGGGUAGUAACCUAAUACGUUGCUACUUUGACGUUACCGACAGAAUAAGCACCGGCUAACUUCGUG
rnacentral:rRNA from 1 species